CAAUAGCGUAUAUUUAAGUUGUUGCAGUUAAAGAGCUCGUAGUCGGAUUUUGGCUGAGAACGAUCGGUCCGCCGUUAGGUGUGCACUGAUUGGUCUCAGCUUCCUGGUGAGGAGGUGUGCUUCACGGCCACUUAGUCACCGUGGUUACUUUGAAAAAAUUAGAGUGUUCAAAGCGGGCUUACGCUUGAAUAUAUUAGCAUGGAAUAACACCAUAGGACUCCUGUCCUAUUUCGUUGGUCUCGGGACGGGAGUAAUGAUUAAGAGGAACAGCUGGGGGCAUUCGUAUUUCAUUGUCAGAGGUGUAAUUCUUGGAUUUAUGAAAGACGAACUUCUGCGAAAGCAUUUGCCAAGGAUGUUUUCAUUGA
rnacentral:rRNA from 1 species